CUCACCUCAGCCUCCCGAGUAGCUGAGACCACAGACAGGAAUUCCAGGCUUGGACUGGAGUGAAGCCCUCAAGAUCCACAAAGACAAAACCAGCCCGAGUCAUCACAACCCACACUUCGGGAUGGGACAGCAGCCCUGGGGCCGGCUUCCAGGUCCCAGAGGUGAGGAAGAAGUUCACUCCUAACCCCUCCGCCAUCUUUCAGGCCUCAGCUCCCCGGAUUCUCAACGUGUGACUGCCUGCACCGUGACACCAUGGCUGCCGACAGGACAGGGCUGGGGAGCGGCCUCAGGACCCACUGCCGCGGGGCUGGGCGAGAGCAUGGCAUGGGCCCCUGCGGGAGGGCACAGCCCCUCUCAAAGCUGUCACCAGGGCCAAAGUGCUGGUGUGGAGCAGAUGCACCGAUGGACUUGGCACACCCAGCUCAGCCUCAAGCAUCCUCUUGAGAAGCCUGUGGAAGGCUCCUGCGUUCGUUAACUGCCAUCUGGCCGUCUCUCAGUUUUGAAAUCUCUGAGGAGCCUGAGGAUCAAGUCAGUUGGGAACCGAAUUGGUCCAUGGAAGCUGAGGAAUGUGGACACAUCCGGCCCUUGAAAGAACCAGUUAUGUCCACUUUUGGUGGAUUUCCCAGGAUGCGUGAGCACUUGAUUAAUUUCAUAACCUACAGUGAGACCCUUGGCUCUUCCUACAAAUGGCCCCUGCAGUUGAAGCUGUUGGAAUCUUGGGCCGUCACCUGCAUGACUCAUGGUGAUGCUGAGUAUCCAGGAGGAAAUUUCCAGAAGAAACAGACCGUCAGUCACGGGCUUCCACUUCACAGACCUCCUUAUGGCCAAGAUGAGCCUCAUGUUUUAACAAAACAGUUCUUGGGAUUGAAUGACUCACAUUUACCUUGUGCUAGGUUCUAAAGAUUGAAUCCACAUUUUGUUACUAAUGAUUUUCCCGCUAACAUAAGGAUGAUGAGCAGGGCACUAUCAUACACACUGGCUGAGAACUGGAACUGUUUUUGGGAAGGUGGCAUUUGUCUCAUUCCCUGAAAUACCUUAAAAUGUCCUCUACACCAACCCUUCCGUCUACCCUGCUCACAUGUACAGUGACGGGGAACUCACCACCUUUUGAAGAGGCAGUUCAUUUUCUUUGCAAAGCUCUCUCCUAACUUCCUCCGUAAAUUCCAGCCAGCAUGGCCACAUGGGUCACGCCUGGUGCCUUCACACGUUUGAGGGGUCUUCGUCUCUUUUUAAAGCUUAGAGGUACAAGCUCAGGACAGUCUUCAGUAAGGAAAUUUGUGGAUUUCCCUUUGGAUCUUUCUUCCUCUCCAGCCCACAAGUGGCUCUAGUGAGACGAGCAUUUAAGCUGCAGGUGGUGGCACUCGGGUCUCAGAGCCACCAGACGUGCAGGUGGGACAGUGGUUCCAGCUCCGACUGCCUGUCAGCGUCCCUCCCAGGUGCUAGCCCUGGCAGGCACAGCCCUCCCCUCAUGCCAGCAAAGGAAAUGCUCUUGAUGAGAGGCUCGCUUUAAAGAAGCCCAAAGCGUGUGCUUAUCCAAGGGGUUCAGCUAUUCCUGACUUCACGGCUUGCAUGUUUGAUUUUUCUAAGAGAAAAGAGGCUGCCUGCUGGGUGUCUGUGGAAAUGAGAUUAAAAACUGUACAAUCUCAGAUUUUACUAAAAUGCAAAAAUGUAGUUUCAGUUUCUUAAAUUAUAAGCACGAGUCUUCUCA
rnacentral:lncRNA from 10 species